rnacentral:rRNA from 1 species
UACGUAGGGUGCAAGCGUUGUCCGGAAUUAUUGGGCGUAAAGAGCUCGUAGGCGGUCUGUCGCGUCGAAUGUGAAAACCCGGGGCUCAACCCCGGGCCUGCAUUCGAUACGGGCAGACUAGAGUUCGGUAGGGGAGUCUGGAAUUCCUGGUGUAGCGGUGAAAUGCGCAGAUAUCAGGAAGAACACCCGUGGCGAAGGCGGCUCUCUGGGAACGGUAACUGACGCUGAGGAGCGAA